GACGAACGCUGGCGGCGUGCUUAACACAUGCAAGUCGAACGGAAAGGCCCUGCUUUUGUGGGGUGCUCGAGUGGCGAACGGGUGAGUAACACGUGAGUAACCUGCCCUUGACUUUGGGAUAACUUCAGGAAACUGGGGCUAAUACCGGAUAGGAGCUCCUGCUGCAUGGUGGGGGUUGGAAAGUUUCGGCGGUUGGGGAUGGACUCGCGGCUUAUCAGCUUGUUGGUGGGGUAGUGGCUUACAAAGGCUUUGACGGGUAGCCAGCCUGGGAGGGUGACCGGCCACAUUGGGACUGGGAUACGGCCCAGACUCCAACGGGAGGCAGCAGUGGGGAAUAUUGCACAAUGGGCGGAAGCCUGAUGCAGCAACUCCGCGUGCGAGAUGACGGCCUUCGGGUUGUAAACCGCUUUCGCCUGUGACGAAGCGUGAGUGACGGUAAUGGGUAAAGAAGCACCGGCUAACUACGUG
rnacentral:rRNA from 1 species